rnacentral:rRNA from 1 species
AUACGGAGGAUCCGAGCGUCAUCCGGAUUUAUUGGGUUUAAAGGGUGCGCAGGCGGGGGAUUAAGUCGGCGGGGAAAUUUUGCAGCGCCACUUUAAAAAGGCCUUCCGAACUGGGUUUCUUGAGUGUAGAUGAAGUAGGGGGAAUUUGUGGUGUAGCGGUGAAAUGCAUAGAUAUCACGAGGAACUCCGAUUGCGCAGGCAGCUUACUAAACUACUACUGACGCUCAGGCACGAAGGCGUGGGGAUCAAACAGGAUUAGAUACCCUGGUAGUCCACGCAGUAAACGAUGAUUACUAGCUGUUUGCGAUACAAUGUAAGCGGCUGAGCGAAAGCGUUAAGUAAUCCACCUGGGGAGUACGUUCGCAAGAAUGAAACUCAAAUGAAUUGGCGGGG